CCUACGGGUGGCAGCAGUGGGGAAUAUUGGACAAUGGGGGGAACCCUGAUCCAGCCAUGCCGCGUGUGUGAAGAAGGCCCUCGGGUUGUAAAGCACUUUCAGUGAGGAAGAACGCCUGGUGGUUAAUACCCAUCAGGAAAGACAUCACUCACAGAAGAAGCACCGGCUAACUCCGUGCCGGCAGCCGCGGUAAUACGGAGGGUGCGAGCGUUAAUCGGAAUUACUGGGCGUAAAGCGCGCGUAGGUGGCUUGAUAAGCCGGUUGUGAAAGCCCCGGGCUCAACCUGGGAACGGCAUCCGGAACUGUCAAGCUAGAGUGCAGGAGAGGAAGGUAGAAUUCCCGGUGUAGCGGUGAAAUGCGUAGAGAUCGGGAGGAAUACCAGUGGCGAAGGCGGCCUUCUGGACUGACACUGACACUGAGGUGCGAAAGCGUGGGUAGCAAACAGGAUUAGAUACCCUAGUAGUC
rnacentral:rRNA from 1 species